GGCAGGCAGGAAUGUUUAAGUCUGCUGAAGCUGCGCCCACAGCUGCCCCUUCCCCCAGGUGCUCUGUCCCAUGGGGGUGGGAGUUUUAUAGGGCUACUGCCUUUCUGUCAGAGAUGCCCAGCCCAGAGAGGAGGAAUCUAGAGAGGUAGGCUGGCUACGGUGGCUUUGCCGAGCUGUGGUGGGCUUCACCCAGUUAGAACUUCCCAGCAGCUUUGUAUACACUGUAAGGGGAAAACAGCCUACUCAAGCCUCAGAAAUGGCAGACUCCCCUCCUCCCACCAAGCUCGAGCCUCCCAGGUCGACUUCAGACUGCUGUUCUGGCAGCAAGAAUUUCAAGCCACUGAAUCUUAGCUUGCUGGGCUUUGUGGGGGUGAAAUCCACUGAGCUAGAACACUUGGCUCCCUGGCUUCAGCCCCCUUUCCAGGUGAAUGAACGGUUCUGUCUUACUGGCGUUCCAGGCAUCACUGGGGUACGGAAAAAAAAAAAACUGCAGCUAGCUCGGUGUCUGCCCAAAUAGCCGCCCGGUUUUGUGCUUGAAACCCAGGUCCCUGGUGGUGUAGGCACCUGAGGGAAUCUCCUGGUCUGUGGGUUGUGGAGACCCUGGGAAAAGCAUAGUAUCUGGGCCGGAAUGCACUGUUCCUCACGGCACAGUCCCUCACAGCUUACCUUGGCUAGGGGAGGGAGUUCCCUGACCCCUUACACUUCCUGGGUGAGGCAACGCCUCACCCUGCUUCAGCUCAGCCUCCAUGGGCUGUACCACUGUCUAACCAGUCCCAAUGAGAUGAGUAGGGUACCUCAGUUGAAAAUGCAGAAAUCACCUGCCUUCUAUGCCGAUCUUGCUGGGAGCUGCAGACAGGAGCUGUUCCUAUUUGGCCACCUUGCCAGCCACUGUGAACUGUGACUUUUUAGUGUAUAUGUGUUCAUUCAACAAAUAUUUAUUGGGCACCUACAUAUAUGCCAGACAUGUUCUACCCUUGAGAUGCAUCAGUGAACAAAGUAACAAAAAGCCCUUACAUUCUAGUGGAGGGAGACUGAUAAUGAAAUAUUAAUGAGCAAAUAAAAUUCUAUAGCAUAUUGAAAGGUGGUAAGUACAAUGGAGACAAAAAAGAUGAGCAGAGCAAAUAGGACAAGAUGUGGAGGGAUAGGGUCAUUGCAGCAUUCCACAAGAAGUCUCGUUGAAUAAUUAACAACUAAGCAAAGACUGGAAGCAAGUCUUCAAGGAACUUGCCAUGUAGAUACCUGGAAGAAUAUUCUAUGCAAAGAAAACAACUAGAACAAAGGUGCAAAGCAGAUAUGUGCCUGUUACCAAAGGUUGUGUGGCUGGAGUGGACUCAGGGCCGGUGAUAGUAACAGGGCAGGGCAGAGAAGUAACACAAUCAUGGGGAGUGAGAUCAUGGAGGGCUUUGUGUUAGGGCGAUUAUUGUUCAAAUCAGGACAUUUCUGAGAGUGAAACAGGGCACUGUUGGUGAGGGCAGUAACUGUGGAGUGAUAAGUACCCAGAUUCUAGAUAUAUUUUUGAAGGUAGAGCCUGUAGGAUUUUUUCUGAUACGAGAGGAUUUUUAAUCAAGGAUAACCAUAAGACUUUUGACUUGAGCCAUUGCAAGGAUGGAUUUUCCAACAAGAGAAAUAGGGAAGUGGAGGUAAAUCAGGUACUGUUAGCAGGGAUUCAGGAGUUCAGUCAUGGAUGUAUGGGAUUUGAAGUGCCUGUUAGAUAUCCAAGUGGCAAUAUUUUGUAGGCAGUUACAUGAGCAGGCAUUAAGGAGAGAAGUCUGGGCUGGAUUCAUCAGCAUGCAUAUGGACUUUUAAACCAUGACCUUGCAUGAGAUCACCAAGGGAGUGAGUCUGGGUAUAAUAAAUAAAGUUACCGAGAACUCGGUCCUGGAGCUACCCAACAUUAGUGGUUAGAAAAGAAAGAACUAGCAAAGACGUUGAAAAUAAGUAACCUUAUAGAUAACUGAGAGACAGUGGUGUCCCAGAAGCCAACUGCAGGGGGCGUGAUUGUAGUAUCAGAUACUACUUAUAGUUCAAAUGAGUUAAAGGGCAGAAGUUAACCACUGGCUUUACCUAUGUGGAGGUCUUAGUAGACCUUAGUAGACUUACCAGUUUUGGUAAAGUGAUAAGGAUGCUUAUAGCGGGGUUAAGAGAAUGAGAAUUGGGGACUGUGAGUAUGGACAGCACUUAUAAGGAGCUCUCCUACACACAAGGGAGCAAAUAAGGCACUAGCAGAAGAAAGAGUUGGAAGUGCUUUACAUAGGGCCUUUGAUGCUGGGCAAAAGAGUUUUUUUAAUUUUAAGCAUUUUUUUUUUCAAAUUUAAGUAAUAUUUUGAGAAGAGAUGAUAUGGAUACUGGAGCCAGACUACCUGGAUUAACGAAUGUGAUCUUGGACAAGUUACUUACCUGGGCCUCAUUUUAUACUUUGGAUAAAGAUAAUAAUAGGAAUAUUCUUAGCAGCUUACUAGAAUUAAACAACCAUACAAAGGGCUCAGCAGCAUACUUGCCUGAUGGGAUUUGAUAAAUGUAUUUUUAUUACUUGUUAUUAUGCUCAAUAUUAUCAGAGCUGUACCUUAAUAAUUUUAAAACAUAUUAUUCUAGGCCCGGCGCAGUGGCUCACGCCUUUAAUCCCAGCACUUUGGGAGGCCAACGUGGGCGGAUCACAAGGUCAGGAGAUCAAGACCAUCCUGGCCAACAUGGUGAAACCCCGUCUCUACUAAAAAUACAAAAAGUAGCUGAGCGUGGUGGUGUGUGCCUGUAAUCCCAGCCACUCAGGGGGCUGAGGCAGGAGAAUUGCUUGAACCAGGGAGUUGGAGGUUGCAGUGAGCUGAGAUGGCACCAGUGCAGUCUAGCCUGGCAACAGAGUGAGACUCCGUCUAAAAAAAUAUAUAUAUAUAUAUAUAUAUACAUAUAUAUAUAAAAUUCUGCCAUAUUCUAUUUUUCUCAUCAAUACAGAGAAAAGAUGUAACAGACCUAUCAGUAAUAGAUCCUAAUAAACAGAUGAGAGAAUGGUGGAAGAGUGGGCAGCACCUAUAUUUAGAAAUAACCAGCCCUCCCUUGAAGGGUAAUUCUGAUAGCAUCCCCCAUGAACAUUCCUUUCCCCAAGUUAGGAGUCAUUUACUGGAUAUUUAUGGAAUGUCCCUCUUGAUCUCAUUUGGAGUUCUGGUUCCAGUGCCACACUAUCUCACCUGGAAAUCAGUGCUAGUAACUCUUCCUUGGAGUAUCGGUGCCACUGUAGGGCAUAGAAAUAAUUUUGUGAGAACAUCUUUUUUCUACUUCUGUGAGCUCAGCUCAACUUUGAAUAUUAUUUGUUUCAUUUAAGUUAAAUAAACUGGCAUAAAGACAGAGUUCUCUCCCUGCAUUUCAGACCAGAAGGUCUAGGAAGUAAAACUCUUAUCCAGUUCAUUUUCUGUCUUGAUACAUUGUUCACUCUUGGGACAAUCCUGGGCUCUUUCAGUUGGCGUUAGCUGCUCCUGCUGGCAGAAGUUCCAAUUCCUUGCCCUGGUGUUUCUGGGUCUGUGAUCUCUCAAAUGUUGUAUUUAAUACAUAUUAAGUGGCAAUAAUAAUUUCCCUCCCAUUUCACUUGGCCUCAUAUCUUGGAAUCUGGACUUGGCAUCCAGCUUCUCUUUUUCACUUGUGUCCUAAAGUUGUGUAUGCAGUCGGUUGGCUCUGGUAGAAAGGAUUCCAGAUGAAACAUUAGAACCCCCUCCUUCCAUACAAGCAUUUCUUCAAGUCCUUAAGGUUUCUUGGAAGAGUUUCAUGAGUUAUUUUCACAUGUAGCUGCAUACUGUAUAGAGAAAUAGAUUGGUUGCAAGAAAAACUGCUUCUAUGGUACUUCCAACUUAGUCAAGAAACACUGGCUUUGUCACAAGCAAGCUUUUUAUCUUGAGAUUGCAAGUCUUGAUUUCUCAACUGAAGGAGCUCAGAUAAGCUACAGAGAAAGCAGCUCCACUCUGUGCUAUCUUUACUCCUCUUUUGAUGUUCUCCUCUCGCUGCACCUGGGUAGCUCAGCGCUGCCUCUUGUUGCAUCUCCUGUAACCUUUACAAAAUAACAGCUUUCGUGUAAUCUCUGCUGCAAGUCACCUUCCCCUCCAGCAAGGGCCAAAGUGAACAAGGAAUUUCCCCUGGAGGGAAGUUCGUAAGGAGAGUCACAGACAGUGGCCCAAUUCUGAGCAGUCAAUCAGUUACAUUUUUCUUUCACCUGAGUGUAGCUUUGUUACAAUCACAAAAAGGGAGUGAUUUAAUCAUUACUUGUGCCUUCACAACUCUCAUUUCAAUGGGGAAAAUCUUGGGGUGUCUUAGCUUUGGUUGCUUGUAUCACCCAGUUUGUAUUGUUGACUAAACAAAUACUAGAUGUUUAAAGAAUUAAAAUUUAUUUAGAGUCUUAUUGAGGAUUAUAUUUUGGAAAAAUUGUCUAGAGAUACGUUUUGUUAGACUUUUUUAAUGCAGCUUAAAUUAUAGUUUUUAUGUAGGGAGUGAAGAUCCAGCAUGUAUAAAAUUAUAUUAAAAUUUGGGCCUAAGAGUAUAUUUGGUUAUAGUUUGCGGGGGCAUAAUUGUUGAUUUUGGCAGGCAUGAUUUUAUGUGUAAGAACAGGUAAGGACCAAGUUCAUUUAUUUUUUAAGGAAUGUAAUGUCUUAGGCAAGAGAUGUGGGGAGCUGUGUGCCCUAUCUUGUUUAUGUCUUUAAGGCAUUAUUUUGGAGAUCCAUACUUAGUAACAGAAUCAGGGAGACUAAAAUUAUGUUGGCAAGUAAACAUGACUUCUUAUAUUUGUUACUUUUUUGUCAAAUAUUUGGAAAAAACAAAAGGAGUUUUACUGAGAACAUGAAGAAUUAAAUAAGAGAUUGUGCAUCUCCACUUGUCGAAGAAUCCUGAAACAUGUUCUAGGACGUGCUUCAUUCAUCCUCAUGCUAAUUAUGAUAUUAAGAAGAGGGAAGGAGCCGGGCAUGGUGGCUCAUGCCUGUAAUCUCAGCACUUUGGAAGGCUGAGGUGGGUAGAUCGCUGGAGGUCAGGAGUUCAAGACCAACCUGGCCAAUAUGGUGAAACCCCAUCUCUACUAAAAAUACAAAAAUUAGCUGGGCAUAGUGGUGUGCACCUGUAAUCCCAGCUACUUGGGAGGCUGAGGCAGGAGAAUUGCUUGAACCUGGGAGGCGGAAGUUGCAGUGAGCCGAGACUGCACCAUUGCACUCCAGUCUGGGCGACAAGAGUGAAACUUAGUCUCAAAAAAAAUUAAAAAUACAAAAAAAAAAGGAAUUAAGAUUCUUUAUUCUUAAGAAACUGUUAGGUGUAACUAGAUAAUACAUCAAAGUAUACCGAGUUCAUUAGACAAUGUUAUUUUGAUAAGGAAUACUCUAAAUUUUCUGAAAGAAAAAUGGCUAUCCAUUUGUUUUUCUUAGCAUUUUAGUGCCUGCUAUGUGCUAUACCACAAGUUAGGUUGCGAUGAUGUAAAAAUCAAUUGUAUGUGCAUUUCCACAAGGAGAUUGGAUUUAGAUUUGUGAAUAGGAUUAAUGGGGAAUGUAUCCCUAGCAAAUGGGCUUUGAUUUGAGGGAAGCAGAAUAUGGGUACAACUGAUUGUAUGGGUAAAAUGUAAUGGGAAGAUAGAGAAAGGACACUGUUAGUUGGGUAAUUGUUAAUGGAGAUAGUGGUACUUAAGCUGGAAGUGCAGUUAGAAUAUUGAAGACUAGAUCAGGUCAGAAAUGAUGAGGCUCAGAAUUAGGGUUGUGGCAGUGAAAAGUGAGAACGGGGCAGACAGAUGUUGCAGAAUGAGGUCAAAAGGAUUUGAUGAUUCCAUUGGAUGGAGAGAAGUGAGGGAGCGGAGUUUAAAGACGUUUAGAAGAUGAUGGUGCUUUUCACUGACUCCCAGAACUGGGAGAAGUACUGAUUUGAAAUGAAGGGAUUGGGGCAAGAGAGGGGUAAGUAUUAUGGGUGUGAAAGGAGAGAAGAUGAGGAUAUGUUGAGCUUACAGUGUUGAAGAAGCUGAACAGUUAGAACUGAGACAUCUUUUAGGUAAGAUUUCUUUGAAAAUGUAUAUUUAGAAAAUACUUUGCAGGGUGGUGAUAUUUAAAGCCAUAGAAGCAAAACAAAUGGUCCAUUGAGAGCGAAGGGCCAAGAGAGGGCUAAGAACAACUUUGAGGAAUGCCUUUCUCCACUUACAGGAUGCAUAAAGGGAGAGAUACCUUAGAAGGAACAGUUCAAACCAUAGUAGUAGUGUCAGAAGAGUAAAAAUCACAGAUGUCAGGGUUGACAGCAGGUUUAACAAAAAGGAAAUGAUCAACUAUGUCAAAUAAUUGAGAGAAGUGAACCAGAUGAAAGUUAAGUAGAAACCACUGGAGCUGAAGUCUAUAAGUUCAGGGCUGACCUAGAGAGCAGGUCUAGAGUAUUUUGGAGUGAUGGGAACAGAUGCCUAUUGCCAUAAGCCAACAUGUAAAUAGGAAUUGGGAACUAUGAAUUUAGUUGGGAUUGUUGGGGGAAAAGGCAGAGGAAUAAGGUUUCUCAAGGCUUUUUUUCCCCAGUUGGAUAUUUUGCAGAGGGAAACUUGAUCAUAAAAUAGUUUUCACAUCUAAUUUCUAAUAUCUGAACUAUCUGUAUUUCUAUUUUUAGUUAAUUCAAGAGCUUCUUGGUUCCUCUUAUCUAAAAUAUUACAAUGAUUAACUUUUGAAGAAAACUGACUGUGCUAAAGUAUCUAAAAGAUCACUCAGAGUAACUUCUGAAGAAAAUUGGGUUAAAGGUGAAAAAGCCUCCUUCUCCAAGAAUUUUGCCAGUCCUUAAGGAAGACCAGUAAUUUAAAUUUUCUUUUUAUGAUUUUUACCUUGAAGAAACUUUUCCACAUUUAAAUCAAAUGAUUUUAAAUUAAGCGUGUUUGGGAGCUGGUGUUAAAGAAGGGCUGAUAACUCUGAGACACUAAAGCUUGUUCCAUAUUAGCAGCUUUUUUGAAAAUAUCCUUGGUUGGGAGCUGCUACCCUGAUUCUCACUCCACAUAUAAUAAGAGUUUUGCUCUGCCUACUAUAAUUUAUAUAGCAAAACCCAAGGAACAUAUACUAGAUGCAUUGAAAAAUAUGACGCCCUGUAAAACAAGACUUAGGACAAGUGUUACAGAAGGCUUUGAUUCCAAAUCCUAAUUAUUGGAUGGCAAACAAUACACCAAGUACACUAUAAUAAUGUUCUUCAAAGUUUUCCACUUACAUGUCCCCUAAAGUGAUUAUUACAAGGAUGUAUUAUCUUGAAUAUUUUUUUCAUUAAAAUCUAACAUUUUUCAUCCUAAGUUUAAAUAAUUGCAAAGGACAUUCUAAUACUUUAAAUUAUUUCAAGAAUAACAUCAAUACCAUAGUGAUUUGAUACCCUGUUGUCUGUUUUUAAAAAUGCAUGGAAGCUCAUCAUUAAUAGCAAGAACUUCUACGUUUUUUCCCCUUGAACUCCUAUUUUUAUUAGACUUUCUUCCUUAGAAGUUUAUCCUAAAGUAAUGUAUUCAAUGAUACAAAGCAAUUGUGUUUCUCUACAGCAAAAUAAGUAUAUAUGUUGAAGUUAUUGUUGAUGAAACAAAAAUAUAUCACAUAUUUUGAUAAAGCUAAUAAAACAUUUAAGUUUUAUUGAAAAUUAGGUUCUGAGAAAGGGUUUCAGUUUUUAAAAAAUUUAGUUAUCACUGGAUAGAUGUUAUUCCUAAUAAAUUCAGCAUCAAUUUAGUCCUCUUUCUCAAUUAUAUGUGUGUAGACACCAAGAAACUUUUUCACAAUCAAAUGUAAAUUGCAAUUAUUUUAGUGAUACUCAGAGAUACUCAGUUUUUUGAAUUUUUAAAAAGUUCAUUAUAUGCCAAAAAAAAAAAACAUAGAUCUCUGUCUCAAAAUUAUUAGGUCCUUCUUUGUAUUUUUUGAAACAAUCUGACUUAUAUAAGGAUUUAUUACCCAGCUGUUACAAUCAUUCAUUUUUUAAUUUCUGAGAAGUAUGCCAGAAAAUGAUUACUGGCUUGAUGAGGAGAAAAAUCUGUAAAGCUCUUGUUGCAUAUAUUGUCAAAUUGCUUUUUAGGAAAGUCAUACUAAUUUAUACUUCCAUCAAUGACAGUUGAGUGAUAAUCUCAAUGUCUUCUCACCAUCAUUUUCUUUAAUAUUCAUUAAUUUCAUGGGUGAAGAAAUGACAUUUUGCUGUUUUAAUUUGCAUUUCAUGGAUAACUAAUGAGGCUAAUAAUGUCUCAUAUGUUUGUUAGUGAAUUCAUAAAACCAGGGGAGAUAUCUUUUUAUAUUAUUUGUUUCUCUGUUACAGUACUAGUUAUAUAUACUCUAUAACAAAUAUAUAAACUGUAUAUUUAGGACCCUUAGAUUUAUCAUAUUUGCACAUUGAAUGAGUAUGUAUAAUAGAGAAUAGAAAUGUUAUAGAAGAGCACCUGGCCCGCAGUAAAUAAUGUAUAAGUCAACCAAACUCAGCAGCAUUGUUAUUACAAUGAUAAAUAUUUCUUCCAAUUUGACUUUAAAUGUUUUUAUUUUAACAUAAUGCUGCCUUUUUUUUUUGCCUUGGUGUUCCAGAGUUCUUCUGAGCUGAGAGAUUAUUAUUCAAUAAAGAAGGUGUUAUGAACUGUUUUUAUUUCCCCAAUAUUCAUUUGUUAAUUUGGAAAUGAGGGCUUUGGGAGAUAAUUAGGGUUAGGUGAGGUUAUAAGGGUGGGUCUCUUAGGACUAGUGGCUUUUCUUUUUAAUAUGCAAGAUUUCAUCAUGAAUUAGUGGCCUUAUGAUGGGAAGAAAGAGAGAUCUCCCUUCUUCUUAAUGUGUAUGCAUCAAGGAGGAAAGGUAAAGUAAGAAGGCAGCUGUCUGCAAGCCAGGGAAAGAGUCCUCACCAGGAACUGAAUUAUCCAGCACCUUUAUCUCAUGCUUCCUAGUCUCCACAACUGUGAGGAUCAAUUUCUGUUGUUUAAAUCAUCCAUUUGGCAUUCUGUUAUGGUAGCCUGAGAUGAUUACUAUAGAAGGCUUCCUUAGAAAUUAUGAACUAUUUGUCCUUGGAAAGUUGGUAUAGUUACAAAUAAUGUUGAUCCUCAUCCUCUCCUUGAACAUGUUGAUUUAUGCAUAGGAAUUACUAGGCAAAUAGAAUUUUCUUUUAGCCAUUUUUAACUUGAGAUUUCAUAUCAGUUUUUUUUCCCUAAGAAGUUAAAUGAUAUUUAAAAAUGGUCUAUUUAUGUCAAAAUAUAUACACAUAAACCUUUUUUUCCAUUCAAGUUUGUUUUAUUUAUUUUUUUGUUUCUGUUUUUUUGUUUUGUUUUUUUUUUAAUUUAAUUUUAUUAUUAUUAUACUUUAAGUUUUAGGGUACAUGUGCACAAUGUGCAGGUUUGUUACAUAUGUAUACAUGUGCCAUGUUGUUGUGCUGCACCCAUUAACUCGUCAUUUAGCAUUAGGUAUAUCUCCUAAUGCUAUCCCUCCCCCAUCCCCCGACCCCACAACAGUCCCCAGAGUGUGAUGUUCCCCUUCCUGUGUCCAUGUGUUCUCAUUGUUCAAUUCCCACCAGUGAGUGAGAACAUGCGGUGUAUGGUUUUUUGUCCUUGCGAUAGUUUGCUGAGAAUGAUGGUUUCCAGUUUCAUCCAUGUCCCUACAAAGGACAUGAACUCUUCAUUUUUUAUGGCUGCAUAGUAUUCCAUGGUGUAUAUGUGCCACAUUUACUUAAUCCAGUCUAUCAUUGUUGGACAUUUGGGUUGGUUCCAAGUCUUUGCUAUUGUGAAUAGUGCCGCAAUAAACAUAUGUGUGCAUGUGUCUUUAUAGCAGCAUGAUUUAUAAUCCUUUGGGUAUAUACCCAGUAAUGGGAUGGCUGGGUCAAAUGGUAUUUCUAGUUCUAGAUCCCUGAGGAAUGGCCACACUGACUUCCACAAUGGUUGAACUAGUUUACAGUCCCGCCAACAGUGUAAAAGUGUUCCUAUUUCUCCACAUCCUCUCCAGCACCUGUUGUUUCCUGACUUUUUAAUGAUCGCCAUUCUAACUGGUGUGAGAUGGUAUCUCAUUGUGGUUUUGAUUUGCAUUUCGCUGAUGGCCAGUGAUAAUGAGCAUUUUUUCAUCUAUUUUUGGGCUGCAUAAAUAUCUUCUUUUGAGAAGUGUCUGUUCAUAUGCUUUGCCCACUUUUUGAUAGGGUUGUUUGUUUUUUUCUUGUAAAUUUGUUUGAGUUCAUUGUAGAUUCUGGAUAUUAGCCCUUUGUCAGAUGAGUAGGUUGCAAAUACUUUCUCCCAUUUUGUAGGUUGCCUGUUCACUCUGCUGAUAGUUUCCUUUGCUGUGCAGAAGCUCUUUAGUUUAAUUAGAUCCCAUUUGUCAAUUUUGGCUUUUGUUGCCAUUGCUUUUGGUGUUUUAGACAUGAAGUCCUUGCCCAUGCCUAUGUCCUGAAUGGUAUUGCCUAGGUUUUCUUCUAGGGUUUUUAUGGUUUUAGGUCUAAGAUUUAAGUCUUUAACCAUCUUGAAUUAAUUUUUGUAUAAGGUGUAAGGAAGGGAUCCAGUUUCAGCUUUCUACAUAUGGCCAGCCAGUUUUCCCAGCACCAUUUAUUAAAUAGGGAAUCCUUUCCCCAUCUCUUGUUUUUGUCAGGUUUGUCAAAGAUCAGAUGGUUGUAGAUAUGUGGCAUUAUUUCUGAGAGCUCUGUUCUGUUCCAUUGAUCUAUAUCUCUGUUUUGGUACCAGUACCAUGCUGUUUUGGUUACUGUAGCCUUGUAGUAUAGUUUGAAGUCAGGUAGCAUGAUGCCUCCAGCUUUGUUCUUUUGGCUUAGGAUUGACUUGGCGAUGUGGGCUCUUUUUUGGUUUCAUAUGAACUUUAAAGUAGUUUUUUCCAAUUCUGUGAAGAAAGUCAUUGGUAGCUUGAUGGGGGUGGCGUUGAAUCUAUAAAUUACCUUGGGCAGUAUGGCCAUUUUCACGAUAUUGAUUCUUCCUACCCCUGGGCAUGGAAUGUUCUUCCAUUUGUUUGUAUCCUCUUUUAUUUCAUUGAGCAGUGGUUUGUAGUUCUCCUUCAAGAGGUCCUUCACAUCCCUUGUAAGUUGGAUUCCUAGGUAUUUUAUUCUCUUUGAAGUGAUUGUAUACACAUAAACUUAUGGACACAUGAGUGAUAGUCAAAUUUCAAUCACUAAUGUGGCAUGAGCACUGACCCACCAGAAUGGCCAUGGUAAUUCACCAUGGAGCAGUAUUGCAUCAUCCUGAGUGAGAGUGAAGAAGAAUUGAGGUAGAGGGAAACUGAUAGAUGUGUUUGAGAUUUUAAAAUUAUUUCUCAAACUUUUACACCAAAAUAUAUCCUGGUACAUGUGCAACUUCUAUGGCUCUGUCAGACUCAUUUAAUAGGAAACUACCCACAGAAGAAAAUAAGGAAAACGAAUUCUGUAGGUAGAGAAAUGUAAUGACUAAGAUUUUAAAUGUUAUGACUAAGAUACAUGUUUAGUUGAUAAAAAUUAAUAAAAAUAAGAAACUUUCCUUCCUAGGGCAGCAUAAGAUCAUUUCAGAAUGAAGAUGCUUUGGGAUCUGACUUCGGACUGUAAGAAUGACAAACUCUGAAUGGGUGCAAAGGUAGCAGAUGACCUUCAAAGGAUGGUGAGAUUAAAUUUACCUACACCUAGAGAAAUAAUUGGAGCACAUGUCUAUUUGGGCCAAGAGGAUAAAGGCCAGUAGAGGAAUCAGAUCAAAGAACUUCCUCAGGGAAGUGUGCAGAGAACUGGAGUGGACCUUCCCCUAGGAAGCUGCCCAAAACGAGAGUGCUGGAAAGCUGGCCGCAGUGAGGCACUUCAGAUCCCAAGGGUAUGCUGGGGAAGCUGCCACAGGUGGGAGCACUUGCUGCUGGACCCUAGGCACUGUUGAAACAACUGCACCAUCUGCAGGAGCCCAGCAAGCCAAAGCCAGGCAUCCCAUCUGGAGAGAGAGAAGACUGAAGCAGAAACACAAUGGGAAGGAAGCAAAGAUGGAGGUAGAAUAGCUGCCACGAGCCCUGAUAGUUUCAGGCCUUGACUGCAUGUCCUUAGGAUCUCAGGCUUCUCUGUUUUUCCUUUGGGUUCCAUGAAAAACCCCGAUAUUUUGGUAAUAAACACCCUUGGGUUGCUUUGCCUGGCUUGAAGAUUUUGCUUACAAACUAAAGAACUGUGGACAAGAUACACUUCUUGUCUCAAGAGGGCCUGUAUAUUUUAGGAUUUAACUGCGUGUACAUGGAAAGAAAGGUCAGGAACGUUGGUUUUACCUCUCUUCUCGAUGAGAACAGCACUGGGCUCCCAAUCACUACUUAACCUUUAUCCUGCAAGUUCUAGUUUUUAAAAUAAUUGAAAAGUUAGAAAAGUAAUAUAGGAUUUUACUUUUGGAAAGUAUUGAACCUAAUGAGAAUGUUUUAAAUUUAAAAUGUAUGUUUUCAGGACCUCCUGGCUUGGUGACUUUGGACAAGUCACUUAAUUGUUUUAAGCCUCUGUUUUUUCAUAUCUAAAAUGGGGUUGAUAACAGUGCUGUCACAAAGGACUGUUGAGGGCAUUUACUAGAAAAUUGUGUCUGCUAGGCACAGUACAGGGCCUGGCACAUGGCUCGCAGAUCUAUCAGUUAGAACCGAAUAUUGCAAGUGAGAGGAAACUCCAAUAUUGGCUUUAACAACACAAUAACUAUCCUGGUGCACGUAGGUGAAAAGGGCGGAGUUAUGACAGGCUUCAGAUGAGGUUUUACCGGAGAUGUAGUUUCUCCAUUCUGCCUUUUGCAAUGUCAUCUUCAUCCUCAGGAUGCAUCCCAUGGUCUUUUGGCAGAUCUGGGCUCUCCCUACUUAGUAGCAAAUCAGAUACAACAGUUCCAACUGUCACAUCCUUAUGCACACUAUGCUUUAGCUCAGGAGAGGGGUGCAUCAUUUCAAACUAGCCUUACCAAAAACUUCACUGGCUCUGAUUAGAUUCCUUAUCACCUCAAGCAUUGUAGGCAGGAGGCGGAAUGGAAUUCACUUAUUGGAUUACUAGCAUCCAGUUCUGGCAUAGGGAUGGUGAAAGGAAUAGGUCCCUAAGGGUGGCUCAUGCCUGUAAUCCCAGCAUUUUGGGAGGCUGAGGCAGGCAGAUCACCUGAGGUCGGGAGUUCGAGACCAGCCUGACCAACAUGGAGAAACCCCGUCUCUACUAAAAGUACAAAAAUUAGUCAGGCAUGGUGGCACAUGCCUGUAAUCCCAGCUGCUAGGGAGGCUGAGACAGGAGAAUCACUUGAACCCAGGAGGUGGAGGUUGCGGUGAGCCGAGAUUGUGCCAUUUCACUCCAGCCUGGGCAACAAGAGAGAAACUACAUCUCAAAAAAAAAAAAAAAAAAAAAAAAAGAGAAGAAAAUAUAAGGAACUCUUUCCAGAAGUAAAGAGAAUAGAUUUGAGGCAGUUGUCUUCUACAGUGCAAAACAUUCAAGAAAUGUACCUUUCUUUCACCUUAAAAAGAUUUUUUUAAGAACCCAUACAAAAUAGUAUAUUAUUUUAUCCAGUAUUAUAAUUAUGCAUGAGCUACUACAAUUGCUGCAUACAUUUUUGUGAGUUUAUGUCUGAAUGUGAUUUUUACAAUUGGAUCUUAAGAAAUGUCUUAUUCUUAACCCAAAGGUCGAUCUGAACAAAUCUUUCUUUGUAUUUUAUUUGCCUUUAAAAAAUUCUUUUAUGGGGGCUCUACUCUUCAGAGUCUGCUAAGGAAAUGAGAUUUUGGCAAUGUUUUAAUUCAAAAAAAGAACUCCUAGUUUUACUGUGCUGGAUCUGGUUGUCUUUAGUUUCCAUUAUAUUCCUGUUCCAUUAUUCCUUCAAUAACUUUGUUCUCCCAUGACUCUUCUUUAUUGUUACCACAUUUUUUCUGUUCUUUUCAGAGAUGAGUUUUUGGAUUCAACUGAAGCCCUUGCUAUCUGCUAGAGUCAGAGUCAUCACAAUUGGGGGGUCUUCAUUAAGCUACACUUUUUAAUGGAACAUCCUAGUGAGGUUUGAGAGUACAGCUUUAUGGUCUAUAUUACAUUACUAAGCCGAUUUUAUUGGGUUAGUCUAUACGUUUUACAAAUUUGUUAUUCUAAUCUCCCCGAAGAAAUAAUUUCCUUAUUGAUCCCUUUCUUUUUCCCCCAUUUUAUUUUCCCAUAUUUUGUGAUAUCCUCUACUUCAACUUUAAAAAAUUAUAACCAUAGAAAGAAAUACAUUUUACAUUAUGACCCAGUGUGUAUACUCACAGAAACAUAUUCAUAUAGAAAACAAGUUUCACGAAACAAUACUUCCUCUGUACAGUGCACUUUGGUGUUGUUAUUGUGUUCUAUUCUAUUCAUUUUCUUCCAUCCUACUAUGUUAUAAAAGUUGCUCUUUUACAAAUCUGUAAUUUGAUCUUAUGACCCACUGACAUGUCUCAACAUACCAUUUGAAAAUUAUUGCUAAACUGUACUUUCUCACUAGUGAUAUUGUACAUCCAGGGUUUAUGAUUGUGUUCAAGAGAAUUCUUGUCUUUGUAAGGCAAAAAUGGCAAAUAUGUCUAUUUCCAUCUAAAAGAGCAUUAUACAAAAUAAAAUUAUUAAGAGUUUCCACUUAAUAGCUGCACUGUUUAGAGCCCACUGGAAGCACAUCAAGUGAGUAUGCAUGCCAAUUAAUGAAAACCAGAUAAAUUAUAUGAUUCAGUUACUCAUUUUGUUAACUACCCAACACAGUGAUGAUGAACACCUUGAUUGUUUUGACUGUUAUGAAGUAAUUUCUGCACAUCUGCCUCACCAGAUCCAUAAUUUACAUUCAGCUCCCUCACCAGAUCCAUAAUUUACAUUCAUCUCAUUAUAUGAGGCAUCAUGAUUACCACUAAUACAUUAAAAACCAACUUAUAAAAGAAAAUAAAAUUUUAAAUUGUAUUCAGUUUAUAUUUUAUUUACUGGGACUAAACACUUCAUAGCAACAAUGUGUUAUUUUUGAGAAGUGUCUAUACAUAGUAGUGUAAACAUUUAUUUUAAUUAUCAUUAAGAAUCAAAAAAUGAAGAGUAUCUAAAUAAUCCAAUUGAUAUUUUAAGGAAUAAAAAUAUAAGAAUUACAAACAUCAGAUCAUGAAGUUAGUUUUGGUCCAUUUUUGAUUCCACAACACAUUGUUAAAAUGUCAAUGAAAAUAUUAAUAUUCAUUUGGUAUAAGACCAAACAAAAGUAAUUUAUAAAUACAUUUUCUUUUAUUUACAUAUUUAAAUGAAAGGGACUAUCACCUUUAAAAUGGGAAAAGCCUAAAUAUCUCUUUCUUUCUGCCUCUUCCUCCCAUCCUUCUACCCUUCUGUCCUCCAUCUCCAUCUGUUUAUGUACAAAGAAGUUAACUGGCCUAUUCUACACCUCUUGAAAGAUGUAUGAACCAUCAUUUGUUUAUUUAAAUGAGUCCUUGGUAGUUCUAACCCUGGAACAUAUUCUACAGAGUUGCCAGUGCAAAAUAUAGCACAAUGACUCAUCAGCACCUAAAAUUUGUAGCAUCUGCUUGGUGAAUUUUGAUUUGAAACUCGUACUUGAUAUUGUGUUUCUUUUCUGUUCACCAUGUGUUAAUAUGUGUGGUGUAUUUUCCUCCAUAAGCAGUUAACAGUUUCUAAUGUGGAUACUUCAGUUUCAGGGAUGAUUGCCCAUCUCCCUGAGGUGCCCAUUAGGGUGCCCCAAUGAAUCCCAUAGUGUUGUAUAGUUUGCAUUUUAAUUCAGCUAAUCCAAAACACGUUCUCCAAAUUCGGUGAAAGUCUGUUCAGAUAUUUCUUUUAUGAUGUUGAAGUCAAUAAUUUUAUUUAAGUUACCUGUAAGAUAAUAGACUUUAGGUAUUAUAUAAAUUAAUUACAUAAAAUGAUCUUAAAUAAUAUGCUGACAUAAUUUUUUUUACUUAAAACUCUUGUUUUGUCCUAUGUAAUUCAAAAGUAACAAAAUGAUUUAAAAAUUCUGUUUUUUCAAUCCUUUAUUAUUAUUCAAGAGUUUGAGUGUCAAAGUCAGUCUACACUUCUGUAAAGAAAUAUAAAAAUCAGUGGUGUAUUUGGCUACAGGUAAUCUGUUCUUGGCUCCAACAUUACUAAACAGAUGACUGGAUGUGUGUGUGUGUGUGUGUGUGUGUGUGUGUGUGUGUGUGUGUCUAGAAGCUGAGGCUAACAGGAGAGGGUAAUUGCCCAUAAAAGUGAAAUAAAAAGCCAAAAUUCUUCUCUUAAGCUUAAGCUUUUUCCCUCCUUAGCAUUACUUCAUAAGAAAUGUAGCAGUGGAAACAUAAGGUUGGCAUGUUUAGAAAAUUCAAUCAUAAAUAAAAACAUUGUGUGAACUGGUUUUUAGUUUUGAAUUAACCUGGGCAAAUUCAGCUGGUUACUCCUUUUCCCUUUUUCCCAGUUUUCAAAGUUAAAAAAUUUAUGACUCUCAGGCAAAGAUAGUGUGAACUCAUGUCAAAGAUUUUAUUUAACUUAAUCCAUGAGGGAACCCAUAAAAUGUUAAAACUUGUAUAAGAAUUUGAGAAGCUACACACACACACAUACACACACAUGCACACACACACACUCUCACACAUUUCAUAAAAGAAUAUUAGGAUAAGAUUUCUCGAUACAAAACUGUUACCUUUGGGGUUAUCUCUCCGCCAGAAAGAACUUGUUUGCAUCCCUGCUAGACAAAAACCUACAAGUUAACCUUUGCCCGUAUGGAGUUGUAAAACAGACCAGUUGAUAGAAAGAGAAGCCUGCUUCCCGAAGCCCUCAGCAGAAGCCGAGCAGAUGUUGGCACCAUGCUUCUUGUACAGCCUGCAGAACUUGAAGAAACACUCCAUAUUAGUUUUCUGGAGCCAUCGUUAUGAAGCAACACAGACUGGGUGGCAUAAACAAUGGAGAUUUAUUUUUUCACAAUUCCGGAGGCUAGAAGUUUGAGAUCAAGGUGUUGGAAAGUGUCUCAGGAUGAUACAUACCGGUUUUUAACUUUGGUGUCAUCAAAUGCAAUUGCAAUGUGACUGUUUCUUGAAAGCCCGAACUGCUUGCUCCCUAUCAAAAGAGCUGGUUCUGAUUCUGCAGCACAAGGACCCUGUAAAAUACCCAGGAGAGAAAAACAGGAGAUUAUGGACUGUUCUUUAAAAAGGUAAUGAUGCUGUCUAAUUGUUUCUUACAUAUUAGCGUAAUUCUUUAAGAAUAAAAACUACAUUAUUCAUCUCUGUA